GCGAGAAUAUUCGACAAUGGACGAAAGUCUGAUCGAGCGACGCCGCGUGUACGAUGAAGUUUUUCGGAAUGUAAAGUACUUUUAUGAGGGAAGAACGUUGGCGGUACCUCAUGAAUAAGUGGUUGCUAACUCUGUGCCAGCAGCAGCGGUAAUACAGAGACCACAAGCGUUAUCCGGAAUUAUUGGGCGUAAAGGGUGAGUAGGUGGUAUUGUUAGUCGGGUUUGAAAGAUCGUGGGCUCAACCCAUGAUAUGGACCCGAAACGGCAAAACUAGAAUAUGUAAGAGGUUAGUGGAACUAUAUGUGUAGGGGUAAAAUCCGUUGAUAUAUAUGGGAACACCUAAAGCGAAGGCAGCUAACUGGUACAUUAUUGACACUGAAUCACGAAAGCGUGGGUAGCGAUACGGAUUAGAUACCCGCGUAGUCCCUGAGCGGGCUGGCAAGGCGCAU
rnacentral:rRNA from 1 species